rnacentral:rRNA from 1 species
UACGUAGGGAGCAAGCGUUGUCCGGAAUCAUUGGGCGUAAAGCGCGCGUAGGUGGCCACAUAAGUCCGUUGUGAAAGUCAAAGGCUCAACCUUUGAAAGCCGAUGGAUACUGUGUGGCUAGAGUACGGAAGAGGCGAGUGGAAUUCCUGGUGUAGCGGUGGAAUGCGCAGAUAUCAGGAGGAACACCAAUAGCGAAGGCAGCUCGCUGGGACGUUACUGACACUGAGGUACGAAAGCGUGGGGAGCGAACAGG